AUAUCUUUCAACGAUGGAUCUCUUGGUUCCCGCAACGAUGAAGAACGCCGCGAAACGCGAUAUGUAAUGUGAAUUGCAGGAUUAAGCGAAUCAUCAAAUCUUUGAACGCAAAUUGCGCUCAGUUUUCGCGACUGAGCAUACCUGGUUCAGUUUCGUUUU
rnacentral:rRNA from 1 species